rnacentral:rRNA from 1 species
CCUACGGGUGGCAGCAGUGAGGAAUAUUGGUCAAUGGACGGAAGUCUGAACCAGCCAUGCCGCGUGCAGGAAGACGGCUCUAUGAGUUGUAAACUGCUUUUGUACAAGGGUAAACCUGAAUACGUGUAUUCAGCUGAAAGUACUGUACGAAUAAGGAUCGGCUCACUCCGUGCCAGCAGCCGCGGUAAUACGGAGGAUCCACGCGUUAUCCGGAUUUAUUGGGUUUAAAGGGUGCGUAGGCGGAUUGAUAAGUCAGAGGUGAAAUGUCCGGGCUUAACUCGGGAAUUGCCGCUAAUACUUUUGACCUAGAGAGUAGAUGCGGUAGGCGGAAUGUAUGGUGUAGCGGUGAAAUGCUUAGAGAUCAUACAGAACACCGAUUGCGAAGGCAGCUUACCAAGCUACAUCUGACGUUGAGGCACGAAAGUGUGGGGAGCAAACAGGAUUAGAUACCCUGGUAGUC